CGGGAUGUAGCACAGCUUGGUAGCGCGCUUCGUUCGGGACGAAGAGGUCAUGGGUUCGAAUCCCGUCAUCCCGACCA
rnacentral:tRNA from 1 species